UUUUGUGACAUACCCAAGAGGACCAUAGUCUAUAUGAAUUCAUUUGGCGAGUCGGAGGUCAGAAAAAGUGCGGUGUUGAAAAACUGGAGCUCAUUUGCUUCAGCAAGAGGCUGCGCUGGAGAGUGGACCUUGUCACAUGUGAGCCACCCACAUCAACAGGAUGGGAACUCAUGUGGAGUGCAUGUCAUAAUGGUACUGAAAACUAUAGCUUUAACCUAUAUAAGUAAUGUUUACAUUUUUGCCUAUUCAGUUUUUAAAGCCUUAGAGGCAGGAUGGUAAAAUCUCAAUUUUUUUUGUAGAUUGAACCAUUUCAGCAGUAAUGCUUUGCUUUGGUUGCUCUGUUUUUUUUUUUGUUUUUUUUUUUUUUUUUUUUUUUUUUUCCUCCUCGGGGGGUUAAAAACAAACAAACAUUUCUUUGUUAAUCUAAUUCUUUUUGUUCUUUUUUUUGUUCUUUUUUUUUUUUUUUUUUUUUUUUUUUUUUCUUCGUCAAUUAUUAGUUUGCCCAAUCUCUCAUUGACGGUAAAACACAAGUGGAGGAGUACAACACUGAAAUCACAAAGCUCAGGUCCCGACUUUGCCACUACUUAUUUUCCUCAAUAGGUAAAGAUAAAAUUAGCUGCCUUCUUUUUCUCUAACAUUGGAAAAUGUAACUUGUACUUAAACAAAUUAUAUUUUGCAGAUCGAACUAGGAAGUGCAGUCAGUGCUGGUGUGUGAUUGCAGCCAAAGACCGGGUACACUAUGACAUGUCCUUAGCCAUAUAGAUUGUUUAUAUAAUGGACUUUGUUCAUUUGUUUUUUGUUUGUUUAUUUCUUCUUUUUUUUUUUUAAUUCACAGGUGCAGUGCCAGAAAUGUGGUGCAUACAAGCACAUGCGUUGUUCAAAGUCUGUUUGUGGCAUCUGUAUCUUCUGUGAGAGUAAGUCACAAUAUAACUAAACAAUGUCCAAAAAUGUUUAAAGUGAAAUUUGUUUUCAUAAUUUUGCCUUUGCACACCAGGACUGUGUAAUUAAAGUGGACGUUUCAAGAUCCAUUUUUUACACAAAACUAUUUUAGACAUAACUGUGUCAUAUUGUGGGGAUUUCUCUUCACAAUUAAAUUGAUAUAGUGCUGUUUAUAUCAUUCUUCUUUAUGUAACAGCACAGUGCAGCACAGCAGAGGGAAAGGAGUUGUGCACCAUAGUAGGUGGCUAUACAGGAGGAGCAAUAGAAGUAGCCAGUGAAGAAUGUCAUCAGGGAAAGCAUCAGGCAGCGAAUGACAAAGGAAAAGUUCCUAAGGGAGAGAACAUCUGCAGUAAAUCGACAAGUAACAGUGAGAUAGGAAGACUGACAGUCAGAGAUGAAGGUACACAGACUGAAGACAACGAAAAAGAAGCAGAAGUAUACGGCACAAGUCUGAGUACAGAUAAUGCUGCUGCUGAUGAUGUUGACAGGAUCGAUGCAGAUACAGAAUUCCAAACUGAUUCAGAAGGAACUAGUACAGUUUACAGAGUGCAUGGUCGCUUAUCUGUACCAAGCUCAAAAAAGAAAACCUACACAAUAACAGAAGACGAGAUCAAGCGCAGAAUCAACGCAGAGAACAUGUCAGUUCAUGUUUUCAGAGGUUUGAUUGGGGUAGGUAUACAUUUCGUGAUUUUGAUGUCACCUGAAAUAAAUCCGGGUUACUCGUAUCAAUGAAGUGACAAUGUGGCUGGAAAUUGUGCCUUUGCUGCAACAUAUACACAAUUACACCAUGUAAACAAAAGCAUUUAACUUUGUGCGCGUGUGUGUGUGUCUCUCUCUGCUCUUUUGGUGUUUGCACUUUUUCUUUUUUAGGGCCGUAAAGCCAAACUGCCCGCAAUGAUUCUUGACAGGCCUAAGAAGGCCAAAACUAAAGUAACAGUGUUUAGUGUUCUGAGUGAAGAGGAGGCUGGGGAGCUAGCCCUCGGGUUUGCCGGAAGAUUGGCCUGCGAUGUCACAACAGACAUGGUCUGUAAAGGCAUCGACCAUUCAAGUGCUGAUAUGACAAAACAGACUCUUCUCAAAAUCCAACACAACCUUAAACAUGAGCUGACUGAUUCCUCAACCUUCAGUUUGCUGACACACACCUUUGGCCCCGCUGCACUGGAUUCUGUCAUUUCAUUCCUGUGUGAAAAACUUGAUCUUGUCUCUUAAAUAAUGAAGCCUUUUGUGACUUUUGUUUGUUCUGUAAAUCAGAAUCUUGAAAAUUGUUCAUUGUUGUUCUAAGUUUGUGUUAACUAUUUGGCAAAAAUGAUUGGUUCCUAAUCCAAACAGCAUAAUGACUGUUCUAACACAUAUCUUAAAAAUGCUACAAAGAAAGAAAAUUAUCACAUAUGUUUCAAUAUGAAUGUAAUUGUGUCACACUCGGUUUGUAGUAGCUUUCCUGUUUUAUUUUGAGUUUUGGUAUGUUUACACUGUUAUUUUUAUUUCCCGUGUGUUCGUCUUCCCUUAUUAGUUUUACUGUAUUUAAUUAGUCUGAUUUAAUAACUUAUAAUUAUUUACUUUCCAGUGUGUGUAUAUGCUCCUCGUUUGGAUUAUUGUUUGUUUGAGUUCUGCCUGUCUUUUCUAUUAAAGAUUUGGACUUUUGGACUAUUAGUGGACCUCGUAGGUUUUUAUUCUGUGCAAUUGGUAAUUGACUGGGUUUAAUUUAGUGGCCUGGAAAACAGGCCGGAGGGGUCUGGUCAUUUUAA
ensembl:lncRNA